AUCCACGUGGCUGGCAAAGAGAAGGGAGCAUGAAGCUGUCAUUUUGAACAUGCCUAGUCCCAGAGAUGCAUGCGGGGAGAACUCUAUGUGAAGGUGAAGGCAGAGAUGCUUCAUUAAGCCAAGGAAUGCCAAAGGUGGCCAGCAAACCACCAGAAACCAGGCAAGAUGCAUGGAACAGAUUCUGUCUCGUAGCUCUCAGAAGGAACCAACCCUGCCAUCGCACAUUGAUUUUGGACUUCUGGCUUCCAGAACUGUGUGGGUUUGUCAUCCAGCGAGGAGAUGAGGAGAAAGUGCUGGGCCACUCCACUGGAGAAAUUGGAGACCUUUCUUCUGGCUGUGUCUAGGGAGCCAAGAGAGUGAGAGAAAACUCUUUGAGGAAUUGGAAAUGGAAGAAAAUAAUUCUAAAAUUUGUAUGGAACCACAAAGACUGCUAAUAGCCAAAGCUAGUUUGAACAAGAAGAACAAAUCUGGAGGCCUCACACUUUCUGAUUUCAAAAUAUAUUACAAAGCUACAGUAGUAGCAUAAAAACAGAUGCAUAAACCAAUGGGUAGAAUAGACAGCCCAG
rnacentral:lncRNA from 1 species